CAGGAAUGGAGUGGGUUUUCUUCCUCCUUCCAGCCUGCCCUGGUGCGCCCUCCAUGUCCCUGCUGCCCAGCUUCUUGGCACCAAGCCCCGGCAUCUUGUUAUCACAGGCGCUGUGCUGUCUGUCACCUUUUAUUACAAAACCUUCUGAAAUUCUCCAAAUCGUCUCGCCGGUUAUCGUGUUCAACCACAGUGUGCUUGCAGGAGCCUCGAGCUGGAACCACAAGGCAGCCACAGUGCGUCGGGGACUUCUGUUCUGUGCCCAGGAGGGCCCCCCUCCUUUCUCCUCCCCACUAGUUUUGAUGCAGGAUCUCCCAGUGACCAAUCAGGCUAGACUGACCGGCAAGCAAGCUCUCUGGUGCCUGGAUUAUGUGCCUGGAUUAUGAACGCUCAUUACCACACCUCGCUUUGGUUUCAUGAAGGUUCUGGGGUCACACUCACCCCCACUGCACAGCCACCAUCAGCUGUGUCCUCUGGACAUUCUGACAGGUUGUUAGAACUGUUUCUGAGAAAAUAUGAUUCCCCACCCCAGCUUCAGCAUGGAUCCGGGCACCCCUGACAUUCAGUGGCACUCACUUCUGCUAAUAGGGAUCUUAGAGAUGAUCUUGGAGACGGAAGGCAUCAGUCCAAAAUGGCCACACAGCAAAUACAAACGGUGAGCCAGACAACUUGUCUCGGUGACACCUGAAUCAAGGCAGGGACCUUGUGUCACAAAGGGAGCAGCAGCCAUAAAUAUCCACAGUGGUGUGAAAUACCAGAAUGCUCUCCACAGCCCAUGAAAUGGACAUAAAUGUUUACUUCACACUAUAAUUAUGAAGAGGGGCCAUGGAUCGCCAUAAAACCCUAAAGAUUGAUGCUAAACCAACCACCUCCUUAGUAUCAUAAAUUCUGCCUGCGGUUAUAUGCAGUAUUUAAUAAACAUUAAUGAAAAUUUUGUUUAUAACACAUUUUUUUUUAAAAAAAUGGGGCUGGUGAGAUGGCUCAGUGAGUAAGAGCACCCGACUGCUCUUCCGAAGGUCCGGAGUUCAAAUCCCAGCAACCAC
rnacentral:lncRNA from 1 species